GGGCACUGUGGCUCAGUGGUAGAGCAUCUUCUCUGCAUGUAGAAAGUCUCAGGUUCAAGCCCUGGCAUAUCCA
rnacentral:tRNA from 1 species